AGCGAACGCUGGCGGCAGGCCUAACACAUGCAAGUCGAACGAACCUUUCGGGGUUAGUGGCGGACGGGUGCGUAACACGUGGGAACGUGCCUUUAGGUUCGGAAUAACUCAGGGAAACUUGUGCUAAUACCGAAUGUGCCCUUCGGGGGAAAGAUUUAUCGCUUUUAGAGCGGCCCGCGUCUGAUUAGCUAGUUGGUUGAGGUAAUGGCUCACCAAGGCGACGAUCAGUAGCUGGUCGGAGAGGAUGAUCAGCCACAUUGGGACUGAGACACGGCCCAAACUCCUACGGGAGGCAGCGGUGUGGAAUCUAGCGCAAUGAGCGAAAGCCUGACACAGCCAUGGCGCGUGAAUGAUGAAGGUGUUAGGAUUGUAAAAUUCUUUCACCGGGGACGAUAAUGACGGUACCCGGAGAAGAAGCCCCGGCUAACUUCGUG
rnacentral:rRNA from 1 species